GAGUUUGAUCAUGGCUCAGAUUGAACGCUGGCGGCAUGCCUUACACAUGCAAGUCGAACGGCAGCACGGGAGCUUGCUCCUGGUGGCGAGUGGCGAACGGGUGAGUAAUGCAUCGGAACGUAUCCUGGAGUGGGGGAUAACGUAGCGAAAGUUGCGCUAAUACCGCAUAUUCUGUGAGCAGGAAAGCGGGGGACCUUCGGGCCUCGCGCUCUUGGAGCGGCCGAUGUCGGAUUAGCUAGUUGGUGAGGUAAAGGCUCACCAAGGCGACGAUCCGUAGCAGGUCUGAGAGGAUGAUCUGCCACACUGGAACUGAGACACGGUCCAGACUCCUACGGGAGGCAGCAGUGGGGAAUAUUGCGCAAUGGGCGAAAGCCUGACGCAGCGACGCCUCGUGAGGGAUGAAGGUCUUCGGAUCGUAAACCUCUGUCAAGAGGGAAGAAACCCUUGGAUUCGAAUAGGGUCCUUGGCUGACGGUACCUCAAAAGGAAGCACCGGCUAACUCCGUCG
rnacentral:rRNA from 1 species